UUCCGACUUGGCCGACACGGAGGGACCGCCGCCGCAUCGGUAGCGGCAUGGUUCUAACCCGUCGAGCCGUUCCUGUCCAAGGUAGGUGUCUGGGC
rnacentral:tRNA from 1 species